rnacentral:rRNA from 1 species
AACGAACGCUGGCGGCAGGCCUAACACAUGCAAGUCGAGCGGACAUCUUCGGCUGUUAGCGGCGGACGGGUGAGUAACGCGUGGGAACGUGCCCUUUGCUUCGGAAUAGCCCCGGGAGACAGGGAGGAAUACCUGUUGUACCCUUUGGGGAAAAGCUCUAUCGGCUAAGGAUCGGCCCGCGUUGGAUUAGUUGGUUGGAUGGGUACAGGCCCACCAAGCCCACGGUUCAUAGCUGGUGUGGGAGCAGGAUCAGCCCCCCUGGGACUGAGACCCGUCCCGAAUCCUCAGGGAUGGAAGAAGGUGGGACCGUGAGACAACGGGGGAAACCCUGAUGUAUCCAUGCCGCGUGAGCGAUGAAGGACUUAGGGUUGUAAAGCUCUGUCAACGGGGAAGAUAAUGACGGUACCCGGAGAAGAAGCCCCGGCUAACUCCGUG